UCUGGUGUCAGUCUUUACUGUCCGGGUCUCUCUGUGGUUGUGUCAGCCUUUACUGUCCGGGUCUCUCUGUGGUUGUGUCAGUCUUUACUGUCCGGGUCUCUCUCUGGUGUCAGUCUUUACUGUCCGGGUCUCUCUGUGGUUGUGUCAGUCUUUACUGUCCAGGUCUCUCUGUGGUUGUAGCAGUCUUUACUGUCCGGGUCUCUGUGGUUGUGUCAGUCUUUACUGUCCAGGUCUCUCUGUGGUUGUAGCAGUCUUUACUGUCCGGGUCUCUCUGUGGUUGUAUCAGUCUUUACUGUGGUCUCUCUCUGGUGUCAGUCUUUACUGUCCGGGUCUCUCUGUGGUUGUAUCAGUCUUUACUGUCCGGGUCUCUCUGUGGUUGUAUCAGUCUUUACUGUUCGGUCUCUCUCUGGUGUCAGCCUUUACUGUCCGGGUCUCUCUGUGGUGUCAGCCUUUACUGUCCAGGUCUCUCUCUGGUUGUAUCAGUCUUUACUGUCCGGGUCUCUCUCUGGUGUCAGUCUUUACUGUCCGGGUCUCUCUCUGGUGUCAGUCUUUACUGUCCGGGUCUCUCUGUGGUUGUGUCAGCCUUUACUGUCCGGGUCUCUCUGUGGUUGUGUCAGUCUUUACUGUCCGGGUCUCUCUCUGGUGUCAGUCUUUACUGUCCGGGUCUCUCUGUGGUUGUGUCAGUCUUUACUGUCCAGGUCUCUCUGUGGUUGUAGCAGUCUUUACUGUCCGGGUCUCUCUGUGGUUGUGUCAGUCUUUACUGUCCAGGUCUCUCUGUGGUUGUAGCAGUCUUUACUGUCCGGGUCUCUCUGUGGUUGUGUCAGUCUUUACUGUCCAGGUCUCUCUGUGGUUGUAGCAGUCUUUACUGUCCGGGUCUCUCUGUGGUUGUGUCAGUCUUUACUGUCCAGGUCUCUGUGGUUGUAGCAGUCUUUACUGUUCGGGUUUCUCUGU